GCAAGUCGGAUGUGUCGCAGACGACUGAACAUGCACGCGCAGGCGGCGUGUGUGGUUGAAUAAGCUUGGAUUCCGCACAAUAUAUAUAUUUGGGUUCUCCAUUGU